CUUGCUAACUGCGAACUUGUGAGACUCCCGGUUCAUCCUCUUUGUUCGGGUCAUUGGGUUGGUGUUGGAGUUGGUCACCAUAUUCUGAACGUUUCACCUAUCGUUGCGGUGUACUGUUCUUGAUCUGCUGCGAAGCGACGAACCGCAACGGCAGUCACUCGCCUCAGCGAACUUCUGUCUGCUGCAUCUCAAAGGAGCAUGGGGACCUGAUGAUACCUUCAACUAAAAAAAACAAAUGUGCUCUCGUGUGGUCCUGACGGAAAAGUAGUAUCAACAAGAACCCUCCACUUUUUCGACCAAGAUAUGGUUAUGAGAUCCUUCUGAUGGCUUCUUACUAGGCUAUGCCGCUCCGAAGCAUUGAGAUGACGAAGCGUCGUGGUAGCUGCACCUCUGCCUUCGAAAGAUGAAUCAGUCAUUCCACACUGUGCUUACUGGCUUUGUAUAGAGUCUGGCAAAUCCGACAGACUUGGACUGCCUUUUUCAAGAAAGUUUGAAAUAGCAUCCCUUAUGCACCUGCAUUUCAAUUCCAAUCUGUAUUACAAGAAUGACAGACCCCUCAACAGAGAUGAACAUCUGAAAGUGAAAGAGCUGGAAUGAAGAUACGUUAAUCUGUGUCAAAGGUUCUUAGUAUGUGUGCGAGUCGAGGACAUAGGUCUCAAGCUUAUUCCUGUCUCCAGAAGAGGUGACUUCCUUCUAUCUAUUAACCAGCUCCACUUUUUAGGAUUCCCUGUAAACUAAUGGAGCACAUCAUGUACUACCACGUUGUCAACCAAGUUGACUCUGUCAAUUUCUUUUUUUUUAAUUCCAGCAUGGCUUUAGAAAAGGGUAUUCAUGCAAAACUAACGUAGUGGAAUUCGUUCACAGCAUUUCAAACUGUCUUGAUUUCUGGGU